rnacentral:lncRNA from 1 species
UUAAGUUGUUAUCAUGUAUCCACACCUUAGUAUGAAUGAGUCAAUCUGAUCCUUUUCCGCGGGAAAAUCAAAUCUGCCCGAAGCCGCAGCCUCCCGCCGCCCGGGAACGCCAGAGGGGGCGCCCGCAGGGGCCGGGGCGGGGCCGCGGGCGGGGUCUGCGCGCAGGGUGAGUGUGAGCGUGUGUGUGUGCGCGUGUGUGUGUGUGUGCGCGCGUGGCGGGCCGGGGGACGCGGUCCAGAUGCUGGGGACGUGGCGGGUGACAGCAAGAGGUGGUCCUGGUCGCGCGCAUCUUCAUUUGCGCCCGCCCCCUCUCACCACCCCUAUCUCCCAUCAGGGGUCUCCAUCCUGGGGGAGGGGGAGGGUUAUGGGAACCAACGGGCGCCUUUUUGAGAAAGGUCUAUGCAGGGUUGAGAGGGGGCAUAAGUGGGAGGGAGGUGUGCAAAAAAGAUCCCCUCCCAGGGGCUUGGGUGUGGAGGGUCUCUGCUGAGUGUGCGCCCUACUCGGGGGCGGGUCUCAGUUCAGAAACAGACCCUACAUCUCCUUCUGGGGAGGUGUGUGGGGGCGACCCCAGUGCCAGGAGGGACUACCUCGGUUUCCCAGUGGCCCAGGUGGGGUCGGUGCAUGGGCGCCUCCCCCAUCCGUGGUUCCCGCCAGCCGCGGCCUCGCCAAGUCGGCUGCCGAAACCACGCGCCAGCGCCCUUCCACUCCCCCGCCCGUCGUGACCACACGACUGAGCCAGCCUCCAGGUCUAGAAGCUCCUGCCACCCAGUCUGGUGGCAACCAGACUGGGAGAUCGGCCCGAGCUCCCUGGGCUUCUAUGCAGCCAGCACCGAGUAGGCGCGUGCUGUGUGCCUGGCGAGCGAGGGGAGAGUUGGGACACCUCUCCUGCAGUCCUCUUCCCAGCCAAGCCCCUCGCGAUCCCCCGCCCUAGCCCAGCCUUGCCCUCCCGGGCAUGAGGUUGCAGCGCAGAGGCGUCUCCCUGAGUAAGGCUGCACACGUAGACUUGACUCUAGCCCAUCCUCAGCCUCAGCCUAAGCUUUGCCGAGCUGGAACCUCCACUUCCUCGCCCACCGCCUGGCACAUCGAAGCCGAUGUGCCUCGGGCCGGCGGGGAGGCCAAAAACCUGGUGCUGGGCUGGGCAGAGUUGCGCUCUCUGGGCCUUGUUUGUGGCAGCGGGACCAUAAGGGGCUCCUCCGGAUUCUGUUUGAAGUCAAUUCCUGGAACAUCAGAUACUGUCAG